UCAAAAAGCACCCUAACCCUCUGCAAGUCGCUACUUCAGCGGUGUACGUAACCGUCAUCGUACUUUACCUAACAGUGAACGAGCGGAUUGCAGAUUUAAUGAGAUGAGCGGUUUCAGCUUGAUGGUGCUUUGUUUGCCGAGUGCAAACGUGUGACCAGCCAAGUAUAUAAAGCACGGUGUUUUGGGGAACAGUGAAGCAUCGCUCUAUAUUUAUGCGGUUUUAGUAGUUUCCGAACGAUGACAUAAUCGUUUUAUUCAGUAAUUGUGGGUUUACAAGGAUAAACAAAGCAUUUGCUGCUACGAAAGACAAAUACGAAUGAAAUGUGGAUUUCUCUAUGGUUUUCUGACAGUCAUUAAACAGUUGAGAUCCUAGAUAUUAAUUACGGAUUGCACUUUGAAGAGUUCGGGUUUAAUUGAGCAAAAAUAACGAGAGUCUGAAGAUAAUUCAGACACAAAACAAAAUCAAACAAACUUUUAAGCAUGGUCAGCUGUCAAACUGGCAGGCGACGUUGCCGCAUGUCAGAUAAACGAACUUUACCAAAUCAACAGAAUACAGGGUGUAUUUGAAUAGAUUGUAAAAAUGAAAUGGAUGAAUCCUGAGCUACAUUCGAUUUGAGAAGUUCACUUAUAACUGUGAAUGUGAAUUUAAUCUGUUAAUGUUAUUUCGUAAGGUGAUUGUCAAUUUUAUAAACCCAAAUUUACUAUU